rnacentral:rRNA from 2 species
AAGGUGAAACCGCGAAAGGCUCAUUAAAUCAGUUAUGGUUCCUUAGAUCGUACCCACAAUUACUUGGAUAACUGUGGUAAUUCUAGAGCUAAUACAUGCAAACAGAGCUCCGACCGGAGACGGAAGGAGUGCUUUUAUUAGAUCAAAACCAAUCGGUGGCGGGUUCGCCCGUUAUCGUACAACUUGGUGACUCUGAAUAACUUUACGCUGAUCGCACGGUCAUCGCACCGGCGACGCAUCUUUCAAAUGUCUGCCUUAUCAACUGUCGAUGGUAGGUUCUGCGCCUACCAUGGUUGUAACGGGUAACGGGGAAUCAGGGUUCGAUUCCGGAGAGGGAGCCUGAGAAACGGCUACCACAUCCAAGGAAGGCAGCAGGCGCGCAAAUUACCCACUCCCGGCACGGGGAGGUAGUGACGAAAAAUAACGAUACGGGACUCAUCCGAGGCCCCGUAAUCGGAAUGAGUACACUCUAAACCCUUUAACGAGGAUCAAUUGGAGGGCAAGUCUGGUGCC